rnacentral:rRNA from 1 species
UAGUAACGGCGAGUGAAGCAGCAAUAGCUCAAAUUUGAAAUCUGGCGUCUUCGACGUCCGAGUUGUAAUUUGUAGAGGAUGCUUCUGAGUAACCACCGACCUAAGUUCCUUGGAACAGGACGUCAUAGAGGGUGAGAAUCCCGUAUGCGGUCGGAAAGGUGCUCUAUACGUAGCUCCUUCGACGAGUCGAGUUGUUUGGGAAUGCAGCUCUAAAUGGGAGGUAAAUUUCUUCUAAAGCUAAAUAUUGGCCAGAGACCGAUAGCGCACAAGUAGAGUGAUCGAAAGAUGAAAAGCACUUUGGAAAGAGAGUUAAAAAGCACGUGAAAUUGUUAAAAGGGAAGGGAUUGCAACCAGACUUGCUCGCGGUGUUCCGCCGGUCUUCUGACCGGUCUACUCGCCGCGUUGCAGGCCAGCAUCGUCUGGUGCCGCUGGAUAAGACUUGAGGAAUGUAGCUCCCUCGGGAGUGUUAUAGCCUCUUGUGAUGCAGCGAGCGCCGGGCGAGGUCCGCGCUUCGGCUAGGAUGCUGGCGUAAUGGUCGUAAUCCGCCCGUCUUGAAACACGGACCA